rnacentral:rRNA from 1 species
AGAGUUUGAUCCUGGCUCAGGAUGAACGCUGGCGGCGUGCCUAACACAUGCAAGUCGAGCGAUUCUCUUCGGAGAAGAGCGGCGGACGGGUGAGUAACGCGUGGGUAACCUGCCCUGUACACACGGAUAACAUACCGAAAGGUAUGCUAAUACGGGAUAAUAUAUAAGAGUCGCAUGACUUUUAUAUCAAAGAUUUUUCGGUACAGGAUGGACCCGCGUCUGAUUAGCUUGUUGGCGGGGUAACGGCCCACCAAGGCGACGAUCAGUAGCCGACCUGAGAGGGUGAUCGGCCACAUUGGAACUGAGACACGGUCCAAACUCCUACGGGAGGCAGCAGUGGGGAAUAUUGCACAAUGGGCGCAAGCCUGAUGCAGCAACGCCGCGUGAGCGAUGAGGGCCUUCGGGUCGUAAAGCUCUGUCCUCAAGGAAGAUAAUGACGGUACUUGAGGAGGAAGCCCCGGCUAACUACGUGCCAGCAGCCGCGGUAAUACGUAGGGGGCUAGCGUUAUCCGGAUUUACUGGGCGUAAAGGGUGCGUAGGCGGUCUUUCAAGUCAGGAGUUAAAGGCUACGGCUCAACCGUAGUAAGCUCCUGAUACUGUCUGACUUGAGUGCAGGAGAGGAAAGCGGAAUUCCCAGUGUAGCGGUGAAAUGCGUAGAUAUUGGGAGGAACACCAGUAGCGAAGGCGGCUUUCUGGACUGUAACUGACGCUGAGGCACGAAAGCGUGGGGAGCAAACAGGAUUAGAUACCCUGGUAGUCCACGCUGUAAACGAUGAGUACUAGGUGUCGGAGGUUACCCCCUUCGGUGCCGCAGCUAA